AGUGAACGUUGGCGGCGUGCUUAACACAUGCAAGUCGAACGAGAACGGAAUAUAGCUUGCUAUAUUUGUCAGCUAAGUGGCGCACGGGUGAGUAAUGUAUAGAUAACCUGCCCUUAAGAAAGGAAUAACAGUUGGAAACGACUGCUAAUGCCCUAUAUGCCUUUAAUACCUAAGUAUGCAAGGGAAACGUCUUAGUGCUUAAGGAUGGUUCUGUUUGGUAUCAGCUUGUUGGUGAGGUAAUGGCUCACCAAGGCUAUGGUGCCUAACUGGUUUGAGAGGAUGAUCAGUCACGCUGGAGCUGAGACACGGUCCAGACUCCUACGGGAGGCAGCAGGGGGGAAUAUUGCACAAUGGACGAAAGUCUGAUGCAGCAACGCCGCGUGGAGGAUGACACAUUGCUGUUCGUAAACUCCUUUUAUAUAGGAAGAUAAUGACGGUACUAUAUGAAUAAACACCGGCUAACUCCGUGCCAGCCGCCGCCGUAA
rnacentral:rRNA from 1 species